AUGAAAUUAGUGUGCUGCCAUCUUGUCCACUUUUUAUGCUUAUAUAUAGAUAUGCUUAUAUAUACAUGUUUACCAGACCACCUGACCUGCCUCUUGAGAAACCUGUAUGCAGGUCAGGAAGCAGCAGUUCGAACUGGACAUGGAACAACAGACUGGUUCCAAAUAGGAAAAGGAGUAUGUCAAGGCUGUAUAUUGUCACCCUGCUUAUUUAACUCAUACCCAGAGUACAUCAUGAGAAACGCUGGGCUGGAAGAAGCAAAAGCUGGAAUCAAGAUUGCCGGGAGAAAUAUCAAUAACCUCAGACAUGCAGAUGAUACCACCCUUAUGGCAGAAAGUGAGGAGGAAGUAAAAAGCCUCUUGAUGAAAGUGAAAGAGGAGAGCGAAAAAGUUGGCUUAAAGCUCAACAUUCAGAAAAUGAUCAUGGCAUCCGGUCCCAUCACUUCAUGGGAAAUAGAUGAGGAAACAGUGGAAACAGUGUCAUACUUUAUUUUUGGGGGCUCCAAAAUCACUGCAGAUGGUGAUUGCAGCCAUGAAAUUAAAAGAUGCUUAUUCCUUGGAAGGAAAGUUAUGACCAACCUAGAUAGCAUAUUCAGAAGCAGACAUUAUUUUGCAACAAAGGUCCAUCUAGUCAAGGCUAUGGUUUUUCCAGUGGUCAUGUAUGGAUGUGAAAGUUGGACUGUGAAGAAAGGUGAGCUCCAAAGUAUUGAUGCUUUUGAACUGUGGUGUUGGAGAAGACUCUUGACAGUCCCUUGGACUGCAAGGAGAUCCAACCAGUCCAUUCUAAAGGAGAUCAGUCCUGGGUAUUCUUUGGAAGGACUGAUGCUAAAGCUGAAACUCCAGUACUUUGGCCACCUCACGCAAAGAGUUGACUCAUUGGAAAAGAUUCUAAUGCUGGGAGGGACUGGGGGCAGAAGGAGAAGGGGACGACAGAGGAUGAGAUGGCUGGAUGGCAUCACUGACUCAAUGGACAUGAGUUUGGGUGAACUCCGGGUGUUGGUGAUGGACGGGGAAGCCAGGCGUGCUGUAAUUCAUGAGGUCGCAAAGAGUCAGACAUGA
rnacentral:lncRNA from 1 species